rnacentral:lncRNA from 1 species
CACCCAGAGAAUCUCUCUGCACCACGUAUUCCAGCUGGAGGUGGCGUCAGCAAUUCUGGACUGCUUUUUCUGUCUUUUCAGUGCCUCAUUCAGUGAUGUCAAGUUAAAACCAGAAACUAUGGGUGUUCACCAGAUUUUUGGUUCUUAUGAAGGGACAUGGAUGGAGCUGGAAACACUUAUGCUCAGCAAACUAAUGCAGGAACAGAAAACCAAGAACCACAUAUUCUCACUUAUAAGUGGGAGCUAAACAAUGAGAAAACAUGGACACAUGUGGGGGAACAAAACAUACUGGGGCCUGUUGCUGAAGCAGGCAGGGUGAGGGAGAGCAUCGGGAAGAACAGCUAAUGGAUGCUGGGCUUAAUACCUAGGUGAUGGGUUGAUCUGUGCAGCAAACCACCAUGGCACAUGUUUACCUGUGUCACAAACCUGCACAUCCUGCACCUGUACCCCUGAACUUAAAAGUUGAAGAAGAAAAAAGAAAUUUGCAUAUAGUAUUUUUUAGGAUACACUGUUAGGGUCAAUACAUUUCAUACUGUUUUAACAUAUGGCUCAUCUUACGCUACAAGGAAUAUUGGAAAAUUGUCUGGGGGCAAAAGAGCCUCACCUUUGUGCUGUCAUGUUGACAAGUCUUGUGAGGAAAGCGGCCCUGGAAAGGCAUGUGCCUCUGUGCAAAUUACUUUCCAGCAGAGGUAAUUCCCAUAGAGGCUAAUAGUUAAAGGCAUUAUGCCAAGCCUCACUCCA